rnacentral:rRNA from 1 species
GACGAACGCUGGCGGCGUGCUUAACACAUGCAAGUCGAACGAUGAAGCCCUUCGGGGUGGAUUAGUGGCGAACGGGUGAGUAACACGUGGGCAAUCUGCCCUUCACUCUGGGACAAGCCCUGGAAACGGGGUCUAAUACCGGAUAACACUCUGUCCCGCAUGGGACGGGGUUAAAAGCUCCGGCGGUGAAGGAUGAGCCCGCGGCCUAUCAGCUUGUUGGUGGGGUAAUGGCCUACCAAGGCGACGACGGGUAGCCGGCCUGAGAGGGCGACCGGCCACACUGGGACUGAGACACGGCCCAGACUCCUACGGGAGGCAGCAGUGGGGAAUAUUGCACAAUGGGCGAAAGCCUGAUGCAGCGACGCCGCGUGAGGGAUGACGGCCUUCGGGUUGUAAACCUCUUUCAGCAGGGAAGAAGCGCAAGUGACGGUACCUGCAGAAGAAGCGCCGGCUAACUACGUGCCAGCAGCCGCCGUAACAC